GACGAACGCUGGCGGCGUGCUUAACACAUGCAAGUCGAACGGAAAGGCCCCUUUGGGGGUACUCGAGUGGCGAACGGGUGAGUAACACGUGAGUAACCUGCCCUUGACUUCGGGAUAACUUUAGGAAACUGGGGCUAAUACCGGAUAGGAAUCCUUGCUGCAUGGUGGGGGUUGGAAAGCUUCGGCGGUUUUGGAUGGACUCGCGGCUUAUCAGCUUGUUGGUGGGGUAGUGGCUUACCAAGGCUUUGACGGGUAGCCGGCCUGAGAGGGCGACCGGCCACAUUGGGACUGAGAUACGGCCCAGACUCCUACGGGAGGCAGCAGUGGGGAAUAUUGCACAAUGGGCGGAAGCCUGAUGCAGCAACGCCGCGGGCGGGAUGACGGCCUUCGGGUUGUAAACCGCUUUCAGCAGGGGCGAAGCUUGUGGUGACGGUACCUGCAGAAGAAGCACCGGCUAACUACGUG
rnacentral:rRNA from 1 species